GGGGGGGGGGGGGGGGGGGGGGGGGGGGGGGGGGGGGGGGGGGGCAGGGAGGGAGGGGGCGGGGGGCUGCGGCACCGGCACCGGCACCGGAGGGGAGGGGAAGGGAAGGGAGGGUUGGUGCGGGCCGCCCGCUGCUCAGCGGGGCUCCGACCCGCCGGGCCGGGCAGGUGCGUGCGUGUGCCCGCCCGCGGGGGCGCGCAUCCUUUGCCCGGCUACAGCUGCGGGCGCGCCUGUGCGCGAUCCCGCACACCUGUGCGCGCGCCGGCCCGCACACGUGCCCGCCCGUUCCCGGUAUUCUCGGUAUUCCCGCCCCGCCCGCUCCUCGCGGCUCCCCGCUCCCCCCAGCAGAGACAAUCGGCCGGGCGCUGCUGAGCACGGUCCCUCCCCUGCUCCUGCUCCUGCUCCUGGUGCCCCGCGCAGCCGCCCGCCCCGGCGGGCUCCCGUGUAACGCGGCUGCGGAAUAAGUUCGAGCUCCCGUCCCGGCUCCGCGGGGGGGGGGGGGGGGGGGGGGGGGGGGGGGGGGGGGGGGGGGGGGGGGGGGGGGGGGGGGGGGGGGGGGGGGGGGGGGGGGGGGGGGGGGGGGGGGGGGGGGGGGGGGGGGGGGGGGGGGGGGGGGGGGGGGGGGCGGGAGGGGCGCGACUCACACGCUACAGCCGCCACCGCCCUUGCGAGGUGACCUUCAGGGCGCUGCACAAACGCCGCUGCCGCCUCGGGGUCGGGGGACACCCAGCAGCCGGCAGCGCACCCCUGGCACGGCCGACUGGGGCUGGGGGUUCUCUGCGGGGACACCUCUGUGAUCACAGGUCUGGAAUCACGAGGAAUGCACAUUACAUGAGCUUUUCCACGGUACUACCUAGCAGGUGCACAUUCUGGUGGUUCCCUGCAAGAAUGACCUAGCCUGGAAUCAAGGAAUGCCCAAAUUCAACAUGCUCUUCUCAGGUCUGAAGAAGAAGUGGUCUGGCCACCAUCAUCAAAUACCCUUCCUAAACCAUUAAAGUUAGCAUUUAGGGGGCAAGUUGUAAUGGGGCAUUCUUCUCCAAGUGAUCCAUGGCUACAACCCUGAACCAGUCCCUGAAGCAACUGAGGGAUCUGCUUUUUAGGCCCUCAGCCUCCCUUUGCUGGAGCCACUCUAGGUCCAGGCAGGCCAGAAACCCUCAAGCUCACAACACCAUUCAUGGCAGUGGCUGAGGAUGGCUUCCUUAGCUUUAGACAUGCAACCAGACUUCUCAAAGCCAUGGAGGCUUGUAGGUUAGAGAUACACAGAAGCUGUGUGCCUGGAAGGCCGUGUGUGUUUAAUUGGGAGUGUCUGGUUUGAUUAAUGCACUAUGAUACAUUAUACAUGAUCAAAGGGAGCCAGGUGUGCCACACAGAUUUUCUGGGCUAGGAGAAUUAGCUCCCAGUGGUGUUUAUGUGAUGGGAAAGAGCUGGAGAGCCACAGGGAAGAGAAUAAUUGGAAUCUCUCUUUUCUUCUUGGUGUCUGGUCAGAGCUGGUCUUUUAAAGAGUUCUGGUGAUGGUGGUUGAUAACAAAAGCAAACACAGACAGCAGUACCUGACACCCAAGUGAACAUCAUCUACACUGCAGGGAGGGCAGUAUCAGUUACAACUUAAGGCAGCUGUGAUUACAAUCAAGCCAAUAAGUACACAAGCACUGCUGAAGGAAAGCCACCCAUUUUUGACUCCCCAGGCCACAGUGCAGUUGCUGCUCUUGUCAGCUAGUCUGUUCCUCUCAUCUGCUGGGCUGCAAGUCUGCAGUGGCAACUGGGGAACUGAACCAACUGUCCUCCCUGUUGCAAUUUAUAGCCCAGGUAUGCUACCCUACAAAGGACAGCAGUUUGGGAAUUAUGUAUGGGUGCAUGGUUGUGUCACCCAAGCAUGUAAUCUGCUCACCAGACAGCCUGCCCUGCAAUGCUGUGUCUCAUGUUAUUCAGGGGCCAAGACCCAGUUAAUCUGCUCUGUGGAGGAAACAGUACAUGAGUUAGCUCAGGGUACACACAGCAGCAGCAGUCAGUGCAGCCCUCUCCUUCUUGCCUUCAUCCAAAACUAAACAGGUGUGGGACAUUCAGGGAGAUUCAAGGUGAAACUGAAAUCAGGGAAGAUUUGAAUGGGGAUACGCUCUACCACAGCAUUAUUUCAUAUGACCACAGAGAAUGAGUUUGGAGAAAGCAACUAGAGGAUAUCUAAAGAACUGUAUCACAAUUACACAAUAAAUGGCCAGGCAGAAACACGAUGUUCCUCUGAGCACAUGCACACCAUCACUAUGAGCUCCAGUGCUGCUGGUGGAAGCUGAGCUGCAGGAGCUCCUUCCUGGCUUCAUCAGUGUUUGUUCAAAGAUCACUCAGAAACUCUCUCCUCUUCCUGCAAGCAUCUGUAUUUCUGUAUACAUACACAGACUAGUUCUGCUGGGUUGGUGGUGGCCAGAAGUAUCAAAUUCCUGUGACUGCACAGGCUGGGGCAUGCAGGAUGUGGAAUGGGCAAAAUGCCCUUCAUGAGGGUGGCAAACCAUUCCUGCCUACCUUUUACAAAACUGAAGAUUCUGUCUUGUGCAUGCUCAGGACAUGCACUUUACUUGAUGUCUGUGAAUUAUCCUCUCAGGACCAGCAGAACUAAUAGGCAAUGAGGUGCCGAGUUUUAUUCAAAUUUACUGUUUGUUUGGCUGCUCAGAUAUCAAUCAGGCAUUCUCUAAGGCCACCACUGUAUGAUCUGAUUUUUUAAGGCG
rnacentral:lncRNA from 12 species